UAAGGCCUUUUCUUGACCUUGU
rnacentral:siRNA from 1 species